ACAAUGAAUGCAGUGUAUGUAGUGUGUUUGUAGUGAGUGCAGAGUGUGUACAAUGAAUGCAGUGUAUGUAGUGUGUUUGUAGUGAAUGCAGAGUGUGUAUAGUAAAUGCAGAGUGUGUAUAGUGAAUGUAGUGUGUAGUGAGUGCAGAAUGUGUAUAAUGAAUGCAGAGGGUGUAUAGUGAAUGUAGUAUGUUUGUAGUGAGUGUAUAGUUAAUGUAGUGUGUUUGUAGUGAGUGAAGAGUGUGUAUAAUGAAUGCAG